GACGAACGCUGGCGGCGUGCCUAAUACAUGCAAGUAGAACGCUGAAGGCGGAGCUUGCUUCUCUGGAUGAGUUGCGAACGGGUGAGUAACGCGUAGGUAACCUGCCUGGUAGCGGGGGAUAACUAUUGGAAACGAUAGCUAAUACCGCAUAAGAGUAGAUGUUGCAUGACAUUUGCUUAAAAGGUGCAAUUGCUUCACUACCAGAUGGACCUGCGUUGUAUUAGGUAGUUGUUGGGGUAACGGCACACCAAGGCGACGAUCCAUCGCGGAACUGAGACGGGGAUCGGCCACACUGGGACGGAGACACGGCACAGAGUGCUACGGGAGGCAGCAGUAGGGAAUCGGCGGCAAUGGACGGAAGUCAGACCGAGCAACGCCGCGGGAGGGAAGAAGGGUGUCGGGUCGGAAAGCUCGGUUGUAAGAGAAGAACGAGUGUGAGAGUGGAAAGUUCACACUGUGACGGUAACUGACCAGAAAGGGACGGCUAACUACGUG
rnacentral:rRNA from 1 species